GCAGACACAUUCCAGCCAAUCAGAAGCAGACCCUCCCUCCCAGACCCUCCCACCUCCUGGACAGCAUCCAUUUUACAUUCAUUGUGAAGCUGCAUUCUUAGUGAGCUGUCCAGGAGAUGGGAGGGUCUGGGAGGGAGGGUCUGCUGCUGAUUGGCUGGGAUGUGUCUG
rnacentral:miRNA from 1 species